rnacentral:lncRNA from 1 species
CAGUGUUGUUCCGUCACGAAACCCAGCAAAAUGAGGAAGAGUAGCUCAGUGGAACUGGAGAGAAAUGACUUCUCAACCCUUCCCACCCCUCUCCUUUUUUUAUGAGAGUAAUUUAGGAAGUGCAGUCUAAGAGUCAUUAAGUACAGAAUCCUAUAAACGUCAGAGUGAGUUGUAUUCUGCUUUUGUUUGGCUUGCUGAGUGACAUACUAUACCUUAACUCUGAUGAAGAAGCCAUUACUGAGGGCCAUAAAGGGAUCUGCAUUAAGGCUUCCAACUCAGUUCCUGAACUAUACCACAAUCUGCGAAAAGACAAAAACAAACAAAUAAAAAAACUGAUAUCCUUGGAGGCUGUGAACUGUUGGGAAUGGAUGUGAAUUUCUUCCUGGGAGAAAAGAGAGAAACAGUCUCUACUCAAAGGCCAGUCCUGUGCUGAGGCUGGAUGUUACAGCACCCCCUUCUUCAUUUGAAUACUAUUUCCUUUUCCCAAUAGCAUGUAAAAACAAAUUUUAACAUGUGUUUUUAAAAAAUUUUGAGUUCUGAAUUCUCUCCCUUCC